GAAUCCCCACAGUUCCCUGCUUCCCCUGGCUUGUGGGCAGAGGCCUGGUUGCUGGAUGGGCCAGCAGAGUUCCCGUGGCUGGGCUAGAGAGAGGGAUCGUGAUCCUCGCUCGCCUGUUCCGGGGCAGGAGCUGUCUCACUCCAGGUGCGUGUUCAGUGUCUAAUGCUUAGCAGCCAGGCUCCCAUGGGAGUUAGGCACCUCCCUGAGGAUCUGUGAUUCACUCACGAACAGGUACAGGCACCUACCAAAGGAGCAGUGAUGCUACAAAAGGGCCCAGUGCCCUCUUUCGCUGGAUGUAUUUUUCUCUCUCAUUAUUUUUUCUGCUUGCGUUUGCCAUUCGCUCCCCAGGGCUUGUCUGCUUUGAGCUGUAAAUAAACCCUGUACGAGAGCUAGGUAUUAAUUACUGUUACGAUUGCCCUGCUUCCCCCACAAGACUGUCCGGACAACUGGAGAACUGGCAUGAGAGAUGCCACGCCGCCGAACAGCUGACCAUUGAGACGGGAAGGACUUUAUUCAUUUGUAGUCAGUCUGCUUGAAAACUCUGUUCUUUAACUCAAACACCAGAGAAACUCUUUGGAGAAAAACGUUCUUUGCGAAAGAUUCAACCAAUCUCCCACGGCUCAUUCCUCAGCCCUCCCUGACUGGAAAACCAGGGAAGGAACAGACUUGACAGUCCUGAUAUUUCCUAGCAAAUACCCACCACACGUCAGCAAGAAGUUAAAAAAUUUUUUUAAG